AUUUAAAUGUUUUUAGUGACUGUACUUUCUUUUCUCUGAAUUACUUAUUCCUAGCUUUGCUUAUUUUCCUACAAAGGUCUGAGAAUUUUAAACAUUUUAUAGUAGAGUAUUUGUCCUUUUGAGUUUCAACUGUAAAUGUUAUGUAGUUAAGUCAAUAGCUUGCUUCAUCUGUCAUGCUGUCAGUGGCUUUUGUGCUUGGAAAACUCUUCCCAGUCCAGAGGUAAAGGAUCUCACUAGGUGCUGGAAGAUUAAAUGAGAAAACUUAAGUAAAUUACUUAGCAGCUGUACCUGACCUGUGGUAAUGUAAGUCUGUGAUAGAUGGUAGCAUUAUAGUUCAUACUCCAACAAUUUCUGCUUUGAAUAUGAGGAAACUGAGGGAGAUGAAAGGUUACCAUACUGUUAGGCAGGAGCAGUAGGAUCCAAGUCCAUGCUUCCUAAUACCAGAUCUUUCUGCUUUUUCUCAUCACUUUUCCACAUUAAAGAGUAAGGUGUUCAGACUAAUAAUAAUGGUGGGUACCAUGCAGAGGAUAAAAUGUGGCACAAAGACUUAUGGGUCUACUUCUUCCCUGAGAUGGAUGUGAUGUUUUCUCAGAAAAAGAGAAAACACUGGCAAAGCAUACAUACUAUGGGCUAAAUCAUAACCACAAAUAUCCACAAUACAAAUAUCUUCCCAUCAGGACCACUCUCCUUACCAUUACUACUCAAUCUGAAAAUUUAACAAUGAGAACCCAAUUUUCUUUCAGUUGCCCACAUGUGUAAAAUAUAUGUGUGUGUGGUUUCAAGGGCGGUUUGUUCUCUGAGGAAUUAUACCUGCAAGGCAAAUAUGUCUUCCACCAGCCCCCUUAAUCCAGCCAAGCCCAAUACGCUCCAGGGUGAGAAACAGACAAGGGUACAGGAAAAGGAAGAGGCUGACUCAAAACACCACUGUCUGGCUGCACUUAUGACAGGCAGAACCAUGUCCACUCCUAAAACAGCCUUGGGAAAUACCCUCAUAAAACAAAAGUACAACAUCUAAAAUUAGUAUUGCUAGCAAAAACAAAGGGCAACUGAGGAACAGGGCUCAUCACUAUCAGGCAGAAAAGCUAUUCAAGCCCCAGAUGAAAGUAAAAAUGUGAUUAGAAACUCACCGCUAUUCAGCCCCAGGAAGUUUUUGUCCUCAUCUGUUGCUAAAUUCCCUACUGCCACCCGCUGUGCCUGAGCAGAUGAGGCUCACAAUGACUUUCAAUGAUGCCAUGCAAGCCACCAUGAUCUUAGAACAGACCACUGAGCACUUGCAGACUCUGAACACCAAUGCUCAGCCUUUCCUGAUGUGCCCUGUUCUACUGCAAUUCCCCAAUCUGGACAAGAACAAAGAGGGGCAUUCAGUAAUGAAAUAAAGAGCAAAAUGUUCAGCAUGGGUAGGUAUCAUCUAUCUUCAAAUCUAAUAUGUCCCCAGGACCUUUCCACCCUUUUUUUCGGCAUAUGGCAUGGCCCCAUCCCUUACACACCAAGAUCAUUCCUGCAUCCCCUCCCCAGGUUCUGCCUUCCUGCCUCUGGCCCAGCCCACCUUACUAGCAGCAUUGUGGUGUCUCUGAAGCAAGAAGCCUUCAGCAUGCUAAUCUGCACGUAAAUUUACAAGUGGAAGAUUGGGUGUUUUCUGCAUUUUCAAAAUCUAUUUAAUUAACAAACUAUAUUUUUUGUGGGAAAAUCUGGGGGGCCUCUAGGGUUCUCAGGAACACACUUCAGGAAAUAACAUCCUAAACCUGAACCUAAAGCCAUCUGGUGCUUAGGACACAACAAACAGCUGCUUCCUUCUGAGUCCUGCACAGAUGAUGAAACCCACAGAGCCGGAAAGGGCCUGUCAGACCAAGAGGAAGGGGCUGCUCAAACUCCCCUGAGGAUGAAUGGAUUUAAGGAAACCUGGCCUAGGGAAUCAGGGGAUCCAGUAGAUGAGAAAGGCACAGAAGUGGGAAUAAAAGCAGAUGUAAGAUUUGGAGCAGGGACAGUUGUAGGCCUGGACAAGAUUCAGUUGUGGGAAGGAGUGGGAGAAAGAAAAGUGUUUCCCCCAGUUUCCUGUCUUUCUGUUCUUCCCUGGAUUGAGCUUCCCCUCCUCCCAGAUGCAUUUGUUUCUCACUUUUCACUCUUUGCCAUGGGAACUGAAAUAGACUUUUAAAAAUUAUCGGAUGUACUUGUUUUAUAAUGCUCACUGUCUCAGUACUAAUUCACUAAUGACCCCUACAGAUACCACGUCUAGCAUCCUCUUUUUCACACUGCUAAGUUGUUACCUGGUGCAAUGCUUCUCAGGCUUCAGGGUACUUAUGAGUCACCUCAAGAUCUUGCUAAGAUGCAUGUUCUAAAUCAAAGACAGGGCCGGAGACUCUGCAUUUCUAAUAAGCUCCAGGAGUUGCAAAAGGUUAGAGGUUUUGCAGGAGAUCUUCUCUAAGGUUAAGAAGCCUCACAGGACUUGACUGCUCUUUCUCUGUCUUUUACACUGGUGUUACCUAUAGGCCCCAGGAAAUGCUUGUUAAAGCAAUGAAGUAAAUACUUGCCACCAAUGCUAAAAAGGAAAACAAUAUGCCAUUGACAAAAAACUUCCUAAGGAUUAUGGGCUGCAUCAUCCCAGAAGCUAAUGAAUACACUGGUCCCCCGUGGCCCAGAAAGGAACUCAGGAUGCCAGGGGUUGCUGAGACACUGGUUGGCCAAGUGGAGACCAGGGAGGAGCAUGCAUGUGCACACACGCAGACAGACAGACAGACAGACACACACACACACGCACACACACACACACACACCCUGUCACACAUUUCUUUAAGCCAAUAGCACUCAAACUUGAUUGACUGUGCAAGAGGAUUACCUGGAGGGCUUGGAAGUGACAUAAACAGAAGCAGGCAGAUAGAAAUGCCGCUGCGCAGAGUCCACAACACUUGAAUAUUUCGAUUGAGAAGCAGCCCUAACAGACUAAGACGAAUACUAACUGAGGACCCACCAGACUUGGAGAAAUAAACCCCUUUUGACUGAGCCAACUGAGGCUGCUCUUGAAAUCAAAAUCUAUCAUAAAGUAAGAGUGAAGCUGCAGCGUGGGUCUACCUAAAACUCAAUUCAAGGGCCUUGGGAUCGAGGGCAGGAGUGUGCCUGUGACCAGCUGUCAUUAGUUCUAUUGACUACCUGUGGGAAAGCUGGUCAAGUGGCCACUUGCUCACCUCAAGACAAUGAAUGAAGCUUUCCUGGAUGCUAAGUGACUGCCACCUUGUGAGCUAAGCCUGGCAAGACCUUUGGGCUACACUUCCCUCCUCACUGUGAGCUGUGGCUUGGGCAGGCUCAAAGGGGCCCACUCACUCUGCAGAUGUGCCUCAGGGACAUGGAUGACUCUGCCAGCUGCACUUGAGGGCAAAAUAAUCAUUUACAGCUUCCCA
rnacentral:lncRNA from 1 species